rnacentral:rRNA from 1 species
UACGGAGGGUGCGAGCGUUGUCCGGAAUCACUGGGCGUAAAGGGCGCGUAGGCGGCCUGAUAAGUAGGGGGUGAAAUCUUGCGGCUUAACCGCAAGGCUGCCUUCUAAACUGUCGGGCUAGAGCACAGUAGAGGCAGGUGGAAUUCCCGGUGUAGCGGUGGAAUGCGUAGAGAUCGGGAAGAACACCCGUGGCGCAAGCGGCCACCUAGCCCACACCUGACGCUGAGGCGCGACAGCGUGGGGAGCGAACUGG